UACGUAGGGCGCAAGCGUUGUCCGGAAUUAUUGGGCGUAAAGAGCUCGUAGGCGGCCUGUUGCGUCCGCUGUGAAAUCCCGGGGCUCAACCCCGGGCGUGCAGUGGAUACGGGCUGGCUGGAGGCAAGCAGGGGAGAACGGAAUUCCUGGUGUAGCGGUGAAAUGCGCAGAUAUCAGGAAGAACACCCGUGGCUAAGGCGGCUCUCUAGUACGGUACUGACGCUGAGACGCGAAAGCGUGGGGAGCGAACAGG
rnacentral:rRNA from 1 species